GUGUAGCAGUAGACACUCAAUGAAGUGCGCAUAGCAGCCGGUAGGGGGAACGCUACAUAAAGGUGGCAGGUCUCCCCGGUGCUCUCUCUCUCUGCGCUCAAUUGCAUGCAUGACUUCCGGUCCGAAGUGUUGUCUCGCGGCGGAGCGCUUGAGCUGCCGUGCCCCGCUAUUAGCGUGCGCUACUCCCGUUGGCCUGCGUUGGUACCGCAUGUAGCUGUAGGCUCCUCCCCCUGUUAUCGUCAGUGUGCCGCCAAUCGAGUCAACAGAUGAGGGACGGCUACUGAGCAACCUGAACGGCUGAACCCUGCUGCUUUGUCUUAUAUUUCGUCUGCGGUUUCAAUUACAGCGCCGUCCGCUGUUGUGUUUACAGCUUUGUUUGCUGUCCUUGUUUAUAGCGCUGUUUGUUGCCUGUUGCCUACAGCGUUGCAAUAGAUUUGGCGUUGUGUUACCACGGCCGGAAACCGUUACAGCCAUUUUCACUGCCAUAAGUGUGCCGCCUUGGUCAUUGGGUUUGUUUUGCUUUGAAUAUAGUUUGUUUAUUUGCUUUCUUUUCUGUUUUUGGGCAAAGGAUAUUUUGUUUGGAUUGAUUGUUUGCCCCGUUUUGGUUUCGCAUUAGUUUUGUUUCAUUGUGUUUGAUUCUUGUCUGUUUUACUUUGCAGAGGUCUGUGGUGGUGGCGGUGUCCCUUUUCUUCCUGUGUGCUGUGCUUCCCUGGGAUUUGUGUUUGUGUGUGUGAUUAUCACUUACCCGGGUGAUUUAUAUUAUUUGGACCCUUCCCUUCGCUAGUCCCCCCAUUCACAUCAGCCUCCGCCUUAACAGUUUAUUGUGUGUUUAUUCCAUUGGAGUAAUUAAAUGAAAUAUAUAUUGUUAAAACUGUG